UCUCUCGAUUGAUUUCCCUUGAACUUGUUGAAACCACAAAAAAUUAGGGUUCCGACAACAUGUGAAAUUGAUGACUAGCUAAAUUUACCGUUGAGGCCCGAUGUGAUAUCAUAACUUUGAAGGGUUUGUAGAUGGUUUAAUUAGUGUCUAAAAAAACACCACCACUGCAGACUAUGUUUAUAUUCUUCUUGUGCUAGUUUAUACAGGAUUAGUCAACCCUUGCAUCAGUUACAGUUUUUGUAUGUACGAAUUGUCAUUGUAAUGUGCAUAGAAAUAUACAAAUUCGUGUUCCUUUCUGUUUAAAUUUUCGGUUCUUCUCUUGUUUAUGCAGGAGCUUUGUACAAUAUAUUAACUUGACCAGGACGGAUCAUUAAUUCAUGGAGGAGCCACCCAAUUAGUCUUAGGAAAGUUUUGAGCUUCCAGUUAAAAAAUAGCCAUACUGGGAUUCCAAUACUUUUUACGAGAAUGAUUCUUGCACAUAUACGCUAUUUGUUGAUUCUGAUUAACAUUCUCAGUUUAAUUCUGAGUGGCCUACCGUACAGUCGUGGGGAGACGAUCGAUAGAAAAAUUUUGAAUGUUGGGGAGGAGCUGUGGAAGGAAACUCUGCCAUUACAAAUGGGAUCCCGCCUUUACCUACUGGAGGGGGUUAAGUCUUAUACGUCUUACGAAGUGAAGAUAUCAUAUCCAGCUUCUAUACCUUCAAGAUUUUCUCUGCUGCUUACAAGAGGAAAUUCAAGCUUAGGGCAGAAUUGGAAGAGAAAAUUACUCAAUACGGAGAAGUUGAUUUUCAAAACUGAUAAUCUGGAAUUGUCAAGUGACCAGGAUGGAAUGUACGUCCUGGUGACUGUGGAGCCUGAGGGGGUGGUUGCACUACCAAAUGUACAGGAGAGAAAAGAAGUCAUUUUUAACAUAGUUUGUGAUGAGUUAUUGUUAUUCAUCCCCCAACAUGCCUGGUGGGUCGUAAUCUUGGUAGUGCUUUGUUUGGGAUCGGCAGCUGUGAUUCCACGUUUCCUUCCAUCAUACUUCCUAAGAACCAAUCGAAGCCCACAAUCGGCUAGUCGAAUUACUUCAAAGGAUUCUUGAACAUGAGUGUUGGUUCCAUGUCUCGCCACACUUUUCAGAUUAGCGGCAUGUAGAAGAUGCCACAGCUGAGUUUGGCUGAAGUUCUGCUACUCAAUCAAUUCCUAGUCUUCACUGGAGCAGCUUUACUCGAGCCUUUUGUAUUUUCAAGCUGUCUAUGGUCUGUUAAUCGACAGCAGGAGGAACCAGGAAUUUUGGAUGUCCGUAACUAUUUUGUCUUACCAGAGUUUCUCUUUUUUGUUUUUGUUUUUUGGGUAUUGGUAACAGAAGGAUUUAGUGAA